rnacentral:tRNA from 1 species
AAAAUAGUAAUUCAUAAAGAAUAUGUAAUUUGCAUUUACAAAGAGCUAAAGCCUAUUUUA